GACGAACGCUGGCGGCGUGCUUAACACAUGCAAGUCGAACGGAAAGGCCCUGCUUUUGUGGGGUGCUCGAGUGGCGAACGGGUGAGUAACACGUGAGUAACCUGCCCUUGACUUUGGGAUAACUUCAGGAAACUGGGGCUAAUACCGGAUAGGAGCUCCUGCUGCAUGGUGGGGGUUGGAAAGUUUCGGCGGUUGGGGAUGGACUCGCGGCUUAUCAGCUUGUUGGUGGGGUAGUGGCUUACCAAGGCUUUGACGGGUAGCCGGCCUGAGAGGGUGACCGGCCACAUGGGGACUGAGAUACGGCCCAGACUCCUACGGGAGGCAGCAGUGGGGAAUAUUGCACAAGGGGCGGAAGCCUGAUGCAGCAACGCCGCGUGCGGGAUGACGGCCUUCGGGUUGUAAACCGCUUUCGCCUGUGACGAAGCGUGAGGGACGGUAAUGGGUAAAGAAGCACCGGCUAACUACGU
rnacentral:rRNA from 1 species